AGCGGGAUGGAGAAGUGGUUAUCUCGUAUGGCUCAUAACCAUAAGGUCGCGGUGUUCGAAUCCCGCUCCCGCUACGA
rnacentral:tRNA from 1 species